rnacentral:rRNA from 1 species
AAACGCUGGCGGCAUGCCUAACACAUGUAAGUCGUACGAGAAAACCUCUUCGGGGGUGAGUAAAGUGGCAAACGGGUGAGUAAUGCAUGGGUAACCUGCCCACACGUUCGGGAUAACACUUUGAAAAGAGUGCUAAUACUGGAUGCUAUCACCGUCUCUUCGGCGAGGGUGAUGAAAGAUGGCCAAUCCUUGGAAGCUAUCGCGUGUGGAGGGGCUCAUGUCCCAUUAGCUUGUUGGUGGGGUAAUGGCCUACCAAGGCUGCGAUGGGUAGCCGGCCUGAGAGGGUGUCCGGCCACACUGGGAUUGAGAUACGGCCCAGACUCCUACGGGAGGCAGCAGUGAGGAAUUUUGCGCAAUGGGAGAAAUCCUGACGCAGCAAUGCCGCGUGAGCGAUGAAGCCCUUUGGGGUGUAAAGCUCUGUCGAAUGGGAAGAAAUGAUAUAAGGUUAAUACCCUUGUACCUUGACGGUACCAUUAAAGGAAGCCCCGGCUAACUCCGUGCCAGCAGCCGCGGUAAUACGGAGGGGGCGAGCGUUAUUCGGAAUUACUGGGCGUAAAGAGCGUGUAGGCGGUCAUGCAAGUUAGACGUGAAAUCCUGUGGCUUAACCACAGGCCUGCGUUUAAAACUACAUGACUAGAGUAUUGGAGAGGGAAGUGGAAUUCCUAGUGUAGCGGUGAAAUGCGUAGAUAUUAGGAGGAACACCGGUGGCGAAGGCGGCUUCCUGGACAAAUACUGACGCUGAGACGCGAAAGCUAGGGGAGCAAA